CCGGUAUAGGGUCGCGUCGUGUGCUUCAACCUCCUU
rnacentral:sRNA from 1 species